rnacentral:lncRNA from 1 species
GACCAAGAAACAGGAGAUGUGACAUUUAGAAUGACCAUUGGAAGGACGAAGUUCUUGGUGAUGCUGGAAUUGGGUUUGUAGCCUGGCAGUGGGACACUGAAUCCCCUUGGAUUUGAAUGUCUUUGUGGCUGUGCUGUCUCCUCCCACCUCCUCAUAGCUCUGCCUCUCAAAAACCUUCCUUCA